UACAGAGGGGGCGAGCGUUAUUCGGAAUUAUUGGGCGUAAAGGGCGCGUAGGCGGCCCGGUAAGUCGAAGGUGAAAUCCCCGAGCUCAACUUGGGAACUGCCUUCGAUACUGCCAGGCUUGAGUCCGGGAGGGGAGAGUGGAAUUCCCAGUGUAGCGGUGAAAUGCGUAGAUAUUGGGAAGAACACCAGUGGCGAAGGCGGCUAUCUGGCCCGUGAUUGACGCUGAGGCGCGAAAGCGUGGGGAGCAAACAGGAUUAGAUACCCCGGUA
rnacentral:rRNA from 1 species